AUGAACGCUAGCGGCAGGCCUAAUACAUGCAAGUCGAGAAGUAACAUGACGCUUCGGUGUUGAUGACGACCGGCGCACGGGUGCGUAACGCGUAUGCAAUCUACCUACAGCAGAGGGAUAGCCCGUGGAAACAUGGAUUAAUACCUCAUAAUACAGGGGGCCCACCUGGGCAUAUUGUUAAAGAUUUAUCGGCUGUAGAUGAGCAUGCGUCCCAUUAGCUAGUUGGUACGGUAACGGCGUACCAAGGCGAUGAUGGGUAGGGGUUCUGAGAGGAUGAUCCCCACACUGGUACUGAGAUACGGACCAGACUCCUACGGGAGGCAGCAGUAGGGAAUAUUGGUCAAUGGACGAAAGUCUGAACCAGCCAUGCCGCGUGCAGGAAGACGGCCUUCUGGGUUGUAAACUGCUUUUCUCAGGGAAGAAAAAGGUCUUGCGAGACAAAUUGCCGGUACCUGAGGAAUAAGCACCGGCUAACUCCGUG
rnacentral:rRNA from 1 species